UUGCAGCUUUGCAAUAAAUUUGACUUCAUUUUUGAACUCAUUUAACCCUUGUCCUGAAGCUCUUGAUAACCUCUUCACAGCAAUUUCUUGUCCAUCUAUUAGUGUGCCCCUGUAGACAGGUCCAAAACCACCUUCUCCUAUCUUGUUGCUGAUUGAAAAGUUAUUGGUGGAGUUAACUAUUGUAGGUAACUCAAACAAUGGUAGCUCGAAGUCUUCAUUUUGGUAAUCAUUGUUCUCAGUGGACUUGUUCUUCCUUUUGUAUAUGGCUAAGCUGAUCAUAAGUAUCCCGGAGACCAUUGCAAUGGACGCAAAAGUUACUAUUGUUAUCUUCACCUUACGUUUCGCUUUUCCCCCUGUUUCUGAAGCAUUCAUUCGAAUAUAUAGAUCUUGCCCUCCAUCAUCUGUUAACUGUCUCAUAUCCAUCAGGUCACCAAACCAAAUGGCGC
rnacentral:misc_RNA from 1 species